UACGAAGGGAACUAGCGUUGUUCGGAUUUACUGGGCGUAAAGAGCAUGUAGGCGGAUUGGUCAGUUGGGGGUGAAAGCCCGGAGCUCAACUCCGGAACGGCCUUCAAUACUGCCAGUCUAGAGUCUGUAAGGGGGUGGUGGAAUUCCGAGUGUAGAGGUGAAAUUCGUAGAUAUUCGGAGGAACACCAGUGGCGAAGGCGACCACCUGGUACAGUACUGACGCUGAGAUGCGAAAGCGUGGGGAGCAAAC
rnacentral:rRNA from 1 species